AUGGCAGCCUACCGCAUUACGUCCCUUUGACGCGCCUCAAACACCACCACACUUGUGACAAAAGUUGCUGACGCGCGUAAGGUAGUUCCGGUGUAACUAAGGUUCGGCGUCUACGUUGUGAGGGUGUUGACAUCUUCAGUGUGUCAAUCUAUAAAUGUCGUUUUGAUGACAUAUAUGGUGACAUAGGACCAUCAUAAUGCGGGGUUGCCAUUUAAUAUCAAAGAUUUUAAGAUGAUCGAGCAGAUAACAUGGACGAUAAAGGAAAACUUCCUUAUUCUUUGAGGAAAGCUUCCACAUUUAAAAAAAAAUCAUUCUGUGAAAUAGGCCCGUCUUUAUAUCAAGGUGUAAAUGUAACGUUAUGGACACUAUCCAGAUACGUUUUUUCGGCAAAACAAAAACGCUUUACUCCCACCGGGACUAUUCUGUAAGAACCCAUGAUCGCACUAAACAUAUUUUUAUGUUAUUGUCGUCCGAUAACCAACAAUUUCUCCACUCUUACAGUACAUAUUGGUGUAUAUUGGCAGUGUUUUUCGGGAAUUUUUCAUAAGUAUAUUUUGAACGAUCGCACUUUUUUAGAGAGGGGGGCUGGAUUCACAUAGACAGAAAACACUGAUGGGUACACAGAUUCUAUCACUGUCAAGGGAGGAAAAAGAUAUUGUUUACUGUGCUUCAAUUAUGCAGGAAAAAAAUUGUGAGGAUGAUACAACUAUAAAACCUCAUUGCAUUCCAUCAGGUGACAGUGCUGAUAAAAAAAAACCAAGAUCAUUGUGGAUUCAAAAAAUCAAACUUGUGCGACCAGAUACUCCAAUUGGCUCAAACUCUAGACUUCGCAAUUUACAUUUUGAAAAUAAUAUAUGCAAACAAGGUAUCUGACUACACCCAGGAAAAUAGUCAUUCUGAAUUUGAGAAUACUGAAAACAUUCCCUGUGAGGAUACAUCAUGUAUAUCUACUACUAUUAGUUCCUUGUCUUAAAAGGAGAGUUCUGAAACACAGACUGACCCUAUAGUUGGGGAUUCCAUAUAUGUCUAGACAUCAGAUGUAAAUGUAAGAGAUGAUGCUACACAGACACAAUUAAAUAAGGCCAAAUGUAUGAAAUCAUCUGCAUCACAGACAGUUGUUCCUAUUUUUAAACCAGAGAUUAUUGAAAACGAUGAUGAGAAGACAAAAUAUUAUACUGGUUAUACAAAUUAUGCAACAUUUUUACUGCUUUUUACUACUUUUUGUAAGCAUGGUGCAGAAUAGUUGACCUACUGGGAAAGGGGAAAAAGCACUCCACUACCUGCAAAAGACAGAAAAUAUUUCAACCAAAAAAUUUAGAAACCUGGCAAAAGUUUCUUGCAGAUUUAUUUAGUGUGUCUGUUAAGACAGUAUCUCGAAUCAUUAAUAUAUGGAUUAAUUUUAUGUUUGAUUACAUGCAAGUCACUUAUCCCAUGGCCAUCAAGAGAACAAAUUUUAAGCAAUUUGCCUAAACAUUUUACAGAAAUGGCUCAGUUUCGUAUAGUUAUAGAUGCAACAUAAUUCUUCUGCAAGAAACACGGAAACAUAGAGGCUUAAUUUCUUACAUGGAGUGAAUACAAACACCAGAACACUUAUAAAGGUUUAAUUGGAGUUGCACCCAAUGGUCUAGUAACAUUUGUGUAAAGGAUUUGGGGUGGGCAUGUAUCAGAUAGCAGACAUAUUGUGCAAAAAGAUGGUGACCUCUUCUUACCAACGUCAGAACCUCGAGAUGUUAUUCUUGCAUACAAAGGCUUUACUGUUGGAGAUUUACUUCCUGCACAUAUAGGACUAAAUACGCCACCAUUUGUAUGAUCUAAUUGUCAGAUGAGUGUACAGGAGUUCUUUAAAACUCAACAAAUUGCUGCUCCGAGGAUUGUUGUUGAAAUGAAAAUGGAGCAAAUCAAGAACUUCAAGAUAUUACAAUCUGUGCUACCACUUACUGAAGUUCAUUUAGCUGAACAAAUAAUUAUGAUAUGUUGUGCCAUGACAAAUUUGUACGAGCUCUUACUGAAGUGAAUUAUACUGUCUGCAAUGUCCUGUACUUAAAAUUUCUAGAUUACUUCAUAUUACAGAAUCACUACUGUAAUGAUUUUGUUCAACAAAAAUCCCUUGAAUAUUUAAGAUGAACAGAUUUUCAGUUGACCCUUGACAUUAAGUCAUUUCAAAUAAUCUUUUCCCUAAAUCUGAGGAGUCAAACACAUUCUAAAUAGACAUAUCUUUGCAAACUCGAGUCAAAGCUCAUUGUUGGGUCUACUGAUGUCCAAGAUGGCUCAGGUAUAUAAUGUUAAAUUAAUUGUGUAUCAGUACAUGUAUGUACAUUUGCAUUCCAUUAGACCGUGCAAAUUAACUAUAACAAUGUUGACUUAUGUGUGAUUUUUGUAAUAGGUUUUGGGAUGUUAAAAUUUCAAAACACUUGAUGGGUGUAUUGUCUGUUUCAACAACUAUUGGUAAAACUAAUAUGUAUGGUUUUUUUUAUAGAGUUAAAGUUACUAGGUAUCACUGAUCAAGUAUUUUCAUACUUUGUUAUAUAUAUAUAUUGAGAAGCAGGCCAUAUAAGAGAAUGAUAAUAUCACAAUAUUGAUUUAAUACCUUUUAGAAGUCAAAAUUGAAAAUAGUUAAGCAUCAAUAUUGAAGAACUGGACACAUUUUAAAAAGAAUUUUUGUCAAAUGUUUAUUUGAAAACAAGAAAACCUAAAUGACUUAAAUGUAUGUGUAACUCAGGUAGUUUCAGAUAUUGACAAACCCUUGUUUAAUGUUAUUAGAGGGACACAGAACUUUGUAUGUAAUAACUUGUAAAAAAAAAAAUCUUAUCAUAUGAGAUACUCAUUUCAUCUUAGUUAUUAUAAUGUACAUGUAUAUUGAUAUUGUGUGUUAUGACAUGUGUAAAAAGUGUAUUUAUAACAUCCAUGAUAUUUUUUUUCAUUUCAGGAAAUAAACUUUAGGAUAUGAGUCAAGAUAUCUAUAAUCAAACUUAAUUGUGUUUUUAUUUGAUUUGAUUUGUCAUAUUGAUGUUUUUUUAUUGGAUAUUUGAUUCCUGGACUCUUUCUUUUGUGUGACCUGGCUUACUUUUUGAGAACCCAUUAUAUCUCUUAGAGAAGUUACUUUGUUAGUGAGCUCAUCAAAAUAGAUAAUUUUAUAUUGAUGACAAAUAUGUUAAAUGUGUGCAUAUUUCAAAGUUGAUAUGUGUAUUUUCUUGUACGUCACUACAUGUUGUGAACUGAGUUUAGACAUCAAUAAAUACAUGUAUACACUUGACAAGUUGUACUUAGUAAGUAACUAAGUUCAGAUGUUUGAGUGGAAAGAAAAGUGGAUGACUCCUCUGGAACUUGUAUGGUUGAACUGUACUGUACAGGUAAAUCACAGUUGCCAGUUGUUAAAAGUGCAUCAUCUUCUCAAAAUUAUUCUGAGCAACAAUUGGGAUGUAAAUAAAGUUGACUUUCAAUCAAAUGUGACCUCUCCACAGAUGUUAGAUAUUACAUUUGUCUAUGGAUAAUUACAGAAGCAACUGUGAAUCACACAGUUAAAUACAUCUUGACAUGUACAUAUAAUUUUCUGUUCAACAGUUAGUAAUGAUUCAAUAAAUAUCUAUUAACUUGGAUAUCAAAAUAUUUUCUUGCUCAGAUCACAGUUUAUUCUUUUACAAAUGACUAAAAUACACACUUUACUGUCACAGUACAUAUAAACAAAUAUGCAUGUUUAAAAA
rnacentral:lncRNA from 1 species